rnacentral:tmRNA from 1 species
GGGGGCGUAAAGGUUUCGACGGGAUAAUUGAAGUAUUGACUGCAUGUAGAGGAUCCUCGUUCGCCUCUAUAAAAAACGGGGAAAAUAAAUAUAAAAGCAAAAACAAAUUUUGCACCCUUAGCAGCGUAAGCUAGCUAAGCAUCCCACUUCGGAUCACGGGCCGGAGACCGGGGUGUAAUUUACCGUGAAAAACCGAUGGUCAAAGCUUUGAGGCCAAAGGUCACUUAUGAAGCUACUGAUACCGUACCCGGCUUACAGGGGACAGUAAAGGGAAAUUAAAGAGUAAGCUACGCAUGUAGACGUCGGCAUGGAUAUUGUUUCGGACGAGGGUUCAAUUCCCUCCGCCUCCACCA